GGUAAUUUAAUGUAGUACUGUAGUGUUGUAUUAUAGGAACUACUGCUGUACUAUCUACCUUAAACCGGAUUUAUAUCAAGGUAUUAUGUGAUUAAUUGUACCAUACUAUCGACUAUGAAACACGACAAUGUAAGUCGUAAAAGGUAUGACGUUUGGCACCCGCAGACCUGCAGGUCCGGCUGUAGCUAGCAGCUAGGUGUAGGAUAGUCAAUCCAGUAUAGAUAUGUACACAAACUUAUGCUCUCCCUCCAAGAGACUCGGGCCAUGACAUUGAAGGCAUGCUCCGAUACAGUGGAUCACAUUUAUGUCAAUGUAUUCAUGUAUAUGUAAAGUAUUGUUACUCGUUCUAGUAUCGUUGUAUAUGUUCUCUUUAUAGUAUAGUUGAAUAUGUUCUCCUUCUAGCAUAGUUGUAUAUGUUCUCCUUGUAAUAUCAUGUAUAUGUUCUUGUAGUAAUAAGUAUUGACUCAUGAAUGAACUGACUCCUUGUAUGUUUCUUGGAACUAAAAGUAGUAAGUAGUAUUACCCUAAACUAUACCUAUUAUAGUUUAUUAGUAAUUUGAGGAAUGACUGAAUGUAUUGAACUAAGAUAUAAAUCUUUAUGUCUAUACAUAUACACAUAAUAUAUAAGUAAGGAUCCAACGACACUCGAACAAACAACCGGGUACUUUAGGACCACAACCAAACGAGGAACAGGAAGUAAAGUGGGUUAUUUCUCCUAAGUCCUUCAAACCUUAUUUAUAUAACUAUAUACGUAUCAGACAUGGUUUUUAACAAUAUAUGAGUUUAAAAGCAUGUAAGAUAGUUUGAUAAUAGUUUAAAGUCAUUUGCUUGAUAAAACGGUUUGAAGUAUGAUAAAUCUGUUUGCAUGUUGGUUGUGAAUCACAUGUGAUUGCUCUAAUAACUUAUCAUGAUUCAUCUUGUAUUCCCCCCAUAAAAGCAUUUAAAACAUUUCAAAGGUUUAUUAAUAGGGGUAUGAACUCACCUGAAGUGAGUGGUUCUGAUGAAAACGUUGGAUCAGAUGCUAAGUGCCAAGUGGUGACUUGAGUACACACGCGAAUCCUAUUUAGCAUAUAUUGGCACAUAUAUGAAUAUAAUUAGUGUUAUGAACAACUAAUUAAUGAAUUAGGACCACCUUAGGGACUAUUAAGCACUUAUAUUGAAGUGUUACAACCAUAUAUGAUUGUAUGAAGGGUUAUAAGGCUAUACAAGAAGGUGUAUGGCCAAAAUACACACUAUAUGUGUGUGCGGCCAGGUGUGCUGCCAGCAUGUGUGUGCGGCUAGGUGUGCUGCCAGAAGGUGUGUGCUACUAGAAAACAUGGUGUUCUUGGUGUUCUUUGUGUUCUUGGUGAAAGAUGUUACCUUUUAGAUGAUACUUGAGAGGAUUUUUGAGUCCUUGCUUUGAAGAAGUGUAAGAAAUGAUCAAAAGACCAAGGAUAGUAUAUAUAUAGGAGGUGAGUGCGGCUGGAAGUGUGUGUGGUUGGUCCGUUUUUCCAAUGCCACACUCAAUCUAACCCAUCCUCCGACACGUAUCUCAAUUAUACUAAGCUUUAAGAACUCUUUUAGACCCAAAACUUCAUUAUAAAAUAGCCAAAUCGAAGCUAACUUUAAUAAAAAAGAAGAAUGAAAGCUAGAAAUUUCGGGUUGUCACAUCAUCCCCCUGUUGAAGGGAAUUUCAUCCCGAAAUUAAAGUCUAAGCAAAUAAAGUAUUUGCAGAUAACUAAGCGAAUAGAUGAGGAUAUUUCAAUUUCAUUUGACCCUCGCGCUCCCAAGUGAAUUUCGGUCCCCGCUUGGCGUUCCAGCUAACCUUCACAAUCGGGAUGCAGCUUUGUUUCGUCUGCUUGACUUCACGGUCCAUGACCUCUACAGGUUCUUCCACGAAGUUGAGGCUCUCGUUGAUCUCGAUCUCGUCGAGUGGGAUUACAAGAGUCUCGUCGGACAGACACUUUUUCAUGUUCGAUAAGUGGAAGGUAGAAUGUACGUUACUAAGUUCGCUCGGUAGAUUGAGUUUGUAAGCUACUGGGCCGAUUCUGGCAAGAAUUUCUAAAGGCCCAAUGUACCUUGGAUUUAGCUUUCCAUGCUUUCCGAAGCGUAUCAAGCCCUUCCAGGGUGAGACCUUCAAUAAAACACGGUCGCCCACCUGGAAUUCCAACGGUUUUCUACGUUUAUCGGCGUAGCUUUUCUGUCGGUCUCUAGAGGCUUUCAAUCGUUCACGGAUUUGAACGAUCUUUUCUGUCGUUUCCCGAAUGAUUUCCGGGCCUGUGAGGGUACUGUCAGAAACUUGCCCCCUAGCUAACUGCGUGUCACCCACUUCAGCCCAGCACAGAGGGGAUCUGCACUUCCGGCCAUAGAGGGCUUCAAAUGGAGCAGCGUUGAUGCUCGUGUGAUAACUGUUAUUGUAGGAAAAUUCGAAAAGGGGUAUAUGAGUAUCCCAUGCUUUUCCAAAGUCGAUCACACAGGCUCUCAGCAUAUCUUCCAGUGUUUGGAUGGUCCUCUCACUUUGCCCGUCGGUCUGAGGAUGGUAGGUUGUGCUCAUGUCUAGCCUUGUUCCUAGGGAAUGUUGCAACGAUUUCCAGAAUCUUGAGGUGAACCUACUAUCUCUAUUGGAGAUAAUGGAUAUAGGAACACCAUGCAGUCGCACGAUUCCCCUAAUGUAUGUUCUCGUAAGUUUCUCCAUCUUAUCAGUUUCCUUGAUAGGUAGGAAGUGUUCAGACUUGGUCAAUCUAUCGACAAUGACCCAUAUGGUAUCAAGUCCACCCGUUGUCUUGGGCAACUUGGUUAUGAAUCCAUAGUGAUCCGCUCCCACUUCCAUUCUGGGAUCUCUAGUUGUUGCAGUAAACCAGAGGGUUUCUGGUACUCGACCCUAACCUUUGCGCAAGUAAGACAUUUACUUACGAAGGUAGCAAUCUCUGCUUUCAUGUUAGGCCACCAGUAUAACUUUUUAAGAUCCAGAUACAUAUUAUCUGAACCUGGGUGGACGGAAUAACGAGUGUUGUGCACCUCAGUCAUGACCAAGUCUCAGAAACCACCGUGUUUCGGGGUCCAGAUCCGGUCCAUGAAAUAUAGGGCUCCGCCACCCUUGGCUUCUAAGUUCUUAUCCAUUCCUCUGAGGGAUUCACUCGCCACAUGUUCAGGUUUCAAGGCUUCAAGUUGAGCCUCCUGAAUUUGUGUAGACAAGUGUGAAUGGAUCGUCAUCGUCAAUGAUUUGACUCUUCGACCAGAAUAUUCUUUCCGACUUAGGGCGUCUGCUACUACGUUGGCUUUAUCCGGAUGAUAACGAAUGUCGCAUUCGUAGUCAUUGAGUAGCUCGACCCACCGUCGUUGGCGCAUGUUGAGCUCCUUCUGAUCAAAUAUGUGUUGUAAACUCUUGUGGUCGGUAAAAAUGGUGCUUUUGGUGCCAUAUAGGUAAUGUCUCCAGAUCUUCAGGGCAAACACAACUGCUCCUAGUUCAAAAUCGUGCGUUGUGUAGUUGACUUCGUGUGUCUUCAGCUGCCUCGAGGCGUAGGCGAUGACCUUACCCCGUUGCAUCAGAACACAACCGAGCCCUUGAUUUGACGCAUCGCAAUAGACAACGAAGUCUUCUAUCCCUUCGAGGAGGGAUAGUAUUGGUGCGGUGCAUUAGGCUCGCUUGAGCGUUUGGAAUGCUCUCUCUUGUUUCUCUUCCCAGUCAAAGGCCACGCCCUUCUGGGUCAGUGUCGUAAGAGGUUUCGCAAUGCGGAAGAAGUUCUGUAUGAAUCUGCGGUAGUAGCCAGCGAGACCUAGAAAUUGACGAAUUUUUGUAGCCGUCUUCGGUGCUGACCAGUUCUCAAUGGCCUUAAUUUUGGAUGGGUCCAUGUGGAUUCCCUCUUCACUUACCACAUGUCCUAAGAAUUCGACUCUUCGGAUCCAAAAUUCACAUUUAGAGAACUUCGUAUAGAGCUUCUCCGUUCGUAAGGUUCCUAGAACUUGUCGCAGGUGAUCGCCAUGCUCUUCCUUACUCCGGGAGUAGAUCAGGAUGUCGUCAAUAAAGACAAUGACGAACUGAUCCGAGUAAGGUCGGCAUACUCCAUUCAUCAAAUCCGUGAAAACUGCGGGCUCAUUGGUCAAUCCGAAUGGCAUCACCAUGAACUCGUAGUGUCCGUAACGAGUUCGGAAGGCUGUCUUUGGAAUAUCCUCCUCUAGCACUCGUAACUGGUGAUAUCCGGAUCUCAGAUUAAUUUUGGAAAAAUAAUUCGCCCCUUGCAGUUGGUCAAAUAGAUCGUCGAUGCGAGGUAGAGGGUAACGAUUUUUGACCGUCAGUUUAUUGAGUUCUCUGUAGUCGAUACACAUACGGAAUGAUCCGUCUUUCAUCUUAACAAACAAGACCGGUGCUCCCCAAGGUGAGAAACUCGGUCUUAUAAAGCCUUUGCUGAGAAGUUCGUUAAGUUGACCAGAUAGUUCCUGCAUCUCAGCUGGUGCUAAUCGGUAGGGCGACUUGGCUACUGGGGUAGCUCCUGGAACUAAGUCGAUUCUGAAUUCGACCUGUCGUUGCGGAGGUAAUCCUGGUAGCUCUUCUGGAAAGAUGUCGGGAAAGUCUCUCACUACUGGAAUGUCUUUUAUUUCUUUCGUUUCUAAGCUUGUAUCGACAACGUGAGCAAGGAAUGCACGAUAUUCCUUACGUAUAUAUUUAUGUGCUUGAAUACUUGAGAUAAUACGAAGACUCGUACCGAGUUUGUCGCUGUAGACGACAAGAAUUUUGUUAGACGGGAGGUUUAGACGGACUGCUUUCUCGUAGCACAUGAUGUCGGCGCGAUGAACACUUAACCCAUCCAUGCCGAUGAUAACAUCGAAGCUUUUAAUUGAAACUAGCAUGAGGUCGAUUGGAAAUGAAUGGUUAUCUAGAGUUAGAGUACAUCCUAAGUAUAUGCUCCUGGUGCUUUCAGUUUUCCCAUUAGCCAUUUCUACCGUGAAUUGUUCUUUAAGUACGUGCGGUUGUUGUUUAAGUAUGCAAGCAAAUUUAUGGUUCACGAAGCUUCGCUCCGCUCCACUAUCGAACAGUAUGCAUGCAUAGGAGCUAUCGAGAAGAAACGUACCAGUCACCACCGUCGGGUCAGCAACCGCUUCCCCAUGGCCUAUUGCCAGUACUCUCCCUGCUCCACCAACAUUCUUUGCUUUGGGGCAGUCCCUCUUGUAAUGGCCCACAUCGCCACAACCAUAGCAAGUCUGGAUUACGCUAAUGCUGGGGACUUGGUUAAUCGGCCUCGCCGGAGAUUUACAGAAACGGACAGUGUGUCCUUUCUUGUUGCAAUUAGAGCACUGCAUUUCAUGGCAGGGGCCGUUGUGGUGGGAGUUGCAUUUUUUAUACUUAGGCAAACUUCCAGCAUACUGCUUCACCGGAGCAGUAGCAGCAGUAGGGGUUAUCGCGGCAUGCACAGCCACAAUUUUCUACUUUUUGGCAGCUCGUUGUUUCUUCUUGUCAUCCCAAAACUUCCGCUUAGUGUCAGUGGGUUUGGAGGGUUCCGCGAUGGCUAGGGUUGUUGUCGCUGUUGGGGAUUAGACUCCAUGGUCAAUGAGUCGUUGUGCCAGUCGCUUGGCACUGUCGAAGGUAGCAGGGUUUGAUGAUAGGACAUUUCCCUGAUACGGAGGCACCAGCCCCCAGAUGUACCUCUCAAUCUUUUUCCCUUCAGUGGGAUCCAUAUUGGGGCAGAGAGCCACCAGUUCGCUAAAUCUGGCGGUAUAUGCGACUAUGUUGGAGCCCUUCAUGGUUAGGCCCCACAGUUCCUGUUCCAAUUUCUGAAUCUCGCCCCUCGGGCAGUACUCCUCAAUCAUGAGGUCUUUCAUAGUCUCCCAGCCCAUGUCGUUGGCUACGACGAGAGUUAGAGCUUUAACGUGGCCGUUCCACCACGUCAAGGCUUUCUCCUCAAAAGUGCAUGCAUCAUAUUUGUCUUUGCUCGCAGCAGGGCAUGCACAGAUUUUGAAGACCGAUUCAGUCUUCUCAAACCAUUGCGAGAGGCAAAUGACUCCGCCAGUACCCUUGAAGGACUUCGGUUUGCAGUUUGUGAAAUCUUUGUAGGAGCACUCUCUCGUGCACACAGGGAUUUUAGCGUGAGUAGAGUCAACAGGGGUUCCACCUUGGCUAUUAUCAGUUGAGUGAUAUUGAGCCAUGGCAGUUGCCACUUCCGCAGCUACUGAAGCAUUCAGAGCCGCAGUAUCGAUGACUGGAGGAAGAGGCGGUAGUGGAGGUGGAGGAUUACGUCUUGUUGACUUACGAGGAGGCAUCUUUCAGCUAAGUUUAUAAAGACAAACACAAUGGUAAGAAUCAAUUGUAAGCAAGGUGAGAGUGACACAUGGACUAAAUAGCCAUAGUCCAACAGUUGAAUGAGCAUACGAAUUGAGAUCACAAUAGGGAAGAAUAGUAGGAAAACACAAGUGCACAGAUUUUCCCACAGAGUAGAUAGUUGUAAAUAUUACUGGUAUUAUUGAUGUAAUAAGUUCAGGGAAAAUCGACCUAACAGUAGGUCUUACAUCAUACUGUACGGAAAAUUUGACAGUUCCUAGAUUCCUAGUUAGAGUACUGAAAGUUAGGAAUAUUUUAUGAACAAGUGCUACUUAAAGCCCAUAUACUAAAGGCUAUUCCUUAAUCAAAAGACAAAGAUGUACUAGACAUCUUCUAACGACGACGAGAAUUCCUAGGGCGAAUCCUCAUAUCUGCCAGUUGACGAACCACUUCUUGGAGGUGUCGUUCAUGAGCCCUCUGGCGAACUCGAAGUUCUGCGACUUCGGUGGUUAAUUGCUACCGCAGUGCGUCAUUGGUUCUCCUCGUCCCUUCGAGUGCUUCUUCCAGAUGUCGAAUGCGGACGGUGUUAACGCCUGAGUUGGCAUCAAUUUCCAUGACCCGGUCGAGGGCUGCUUGGCCUUAUUCGACAUUACGAUAAAUUCUACGGACCAUGACGGGCAGAGCUCGAUCUGCAGAGCCACCUUCGCUAAUGUUGUAAAAGGUUCAGUCUGCAAAGUAAGGUAAGGGUUGACCAUGUUCGUCGCUCCAGCGAUUCAAGUUGUUUACCCACAAGGGUGUGGGGCCUGGAAAUGCUGGUCAAGGGUUGUUGUUUGGGGCUUGACCUAUGGGAGGUAGGUUGUUGACUUCGGGCUCAGAGUCAGAUCCAUCCGAGAAUCCUUCUGCUUGAUGAUCAUCCAACGGGAUUUGGUGCUCAUCAUCGGACUCUGCUUCGAGCCAUCCUGCGUUGCCUUCAUUGGGGUAGUACGGGUCGCCAUGAUGGAAUCCAGCCAUGAUAUCUACGCGAGAAAAGGGAUAUAAGAAUCUUAUAUAAUUAGACGUACUACUUAAGAUAAUUAUAAGACGAUUUAUAUCAAUUAUGUCAAUACUUGUGUAGUGCAUACCAGUUGUAUGAAGGUAGAGUAGGAUAGGCCUUCGAAUUGGUAGCCCUAACUCCAAAACCACAACCAAACAAGGACAUGAGGUGAAGCAAAGGUCACAUAUUCUCGGACUAUAACACCUAAUUUCAUACAACCUUGGAGUAUCCACUUAACGACUAUUGACCUAUUUGAUAACGACCUUUUUAGUUCUCAGAUAAUUGAUUAAAGUAACACAAAAUACUCCUAUAGUAUUUUAAACUUAUGCUCUGAUCUAAUGCUCUUAUUGUAGUAGUGUUGGUAAGUUCUUAAACUUGUUACCAUAUCACAACCAUUUUAGGGCAUAUGCUAAUCACUCCUCGGACCAGCAUAGUUGAUCAGGCUAUGCCAUUCCCAGGACUAACCAUACAUCCCCGAGCUCAGUUGUGAUAUCUAACAAUCGUAAUACUUUUGUUCUUGUCAUUGUGACACUGAUUUUAGUAUGAAUGCAGACUUGUAUAUUUAGUUAAAUAUUUUAGUAUUUAAAGUAUAGACUCUUGGUCAGAGUGUUUUAAUCCCAAAUGGGUUUAUAGUUAGUAUAUCUUUUAUGGGUUGAUAUACUUAAUUCACUAUAAACAAUGCUCUGAUACCAAUCUUUCACACCCCAAAACCGAGAACGGCGGAAACGUUCUGGGGCGGAGGACGUCAUGUAAAGUAUCACAACACAGUAUAAUAGUAAACAAGCAAACAACAUCAGCCAUUGCAUUAAGUAUAUAAUUUUAAUACAAGUGUGUUCUGUACAGUUAUAGACACCAAAAAUGUAAAUCAAAAUAAUAAGAUGAGUAUUGAAUGCGCUCCAUCUUCUCAAAAGUUGGCCUCGGUACCUGUCUACAGAUGUCCUGAGAAUACAAGUUAUUUUGAAAGAGUUUAUCAGCAUUAAAGCUGGUGAGUUCAUAAGUAUUUAGUGUCGGUGUUUGUAUCAAAAUGUUUGAACAUGUUUUGAAGUAUGAGUUUGUAAACAUUUGUAAUAAAAGUAUAUGAAUGUUUGUCAAAGUUUGUAACUCCUAGAAAAUCCUAUAUUUUCUACUAAAAGUAGCCUUCUACCAAGGCAUAUCUGUUUUGUAAGUUCGAUUCUUGUAAAAGUGUGAAAUUUUCCCAAGUGUAACUAUUAUUAUCAAAAUAUAGUUUGUACAUUAAUGUUUAAGUGAAAGGAUCACUAAAUGUAUGUAAAGGGUAAUUUAAUGUAGUAUUGUAGUGUUGUAUUAUAGGAACUACUGUUGUACUAUCUACCUUAAACCGGAUUUAUAUCAAGGUAUUAUGUGAUUAAUUGUACCAUACUAUCGACUAUGAAACACAACAAUGUAAGUCGUAACAGGUAUGACGUUUGGCACCCGCAAACCUGCAGGUCCGGCUGUAGCUAGCAACAAGGUGUAGGAUAGUCAAUCCAGUAUAGAUCUAUACGCAAACUCACGCUCUCCCUCCAAGAGACUCUGGCUACAACUCGGGCCAUGACAUUG
rnacentral:lncRNA from 1 species